rnacentral:lncRNA from 1 species
UAGUUUCCACUUUUCGGUUUAGCUUGAAAUUGGAAUUUCAUUCUAACUUGACAUACUCAAACACUCUAAUUAUGAUCAUAUAUGCUAUAUAAAUCAAGCCCAAGCUUUAGUUUUGCCUAAUAUUUGAUUUUUAUUCAAAAUAGUCCAUUUAAGACUUUUAUCGAACAAGUAGCAUGCAUUCUUUUAAAACUCAGAUUUCAUGAGGUUUGAUUUGAGUUCUAACCUCCUUUUUCC